rnacentral:rRNA from 1 species
CGGGCGCACGGCGGAUGCCUUGGCACAGGGAGCCGAUGAAGGACGCGGCAAGCUGCGAUAAUCCCCGGCGAGGAGCACACAUCCUUCGACCCGGGGGUCUCCGAAUGGGCGAACCCAUGCACAGCAGUGUGCAUAUCCCCCCGCUGAACACAUAGGCGGGGGGAGGACAACCCGGGGAACUGAAACAUCUAAGUACCCGGAGGAGAGGAAAUCAAUCUCGAGACUCCCCGAGUAGCGGCGAGCGAAAGGGGACCGAUGGCCAAACCGUCGAGCGGGCAUACCCGGCAGGGGUUCCGCCGACGGGGUUGCAGGGCCGCGCAUCCGGGGGCUGCCGCCCCCGGGCGCAGGUCCGGCUGGGGAGCGGAACGGCAUGGGAGGGCCGGCCGCAGCGGGUGACAGCCCCGUACGCGAACCCAGACCGGACGGCGCGACGCGGUCCCUGAGUAGGGCCGGGCACGUGAAACCCGGUCCGAACCUGGGUGGACCACCAUCCAAGCCUGAGUACUACCCUGUGACCGAUAGCGCACCAGUACCGUGAGGGAAAGGUGAAAAGCACCCCGGGAGGGGAGUGAAACAGUACCUGAAACCGUGCGCCCACGAGCAGUCGGAGCACCUUUAUGGUGUGACGGCGUGCCUUUUGUAGAAUGAGCCAGCGAGUCGCUGGCGCGGGGCGAGGUUAACCGAAAGGGAGCCGGAGCGAAAGCGAGCCUUAACAGGGCGACUUGAGUCCCGCGCCGCGGACGCGAAGCCGGGUGAGCUAUCCGUGGGCAGGCUGAAGCGGGGGUAAGACCCCGUGGAGGGCCGAACGCACGUCGGUUGAAAACGGCGGCGAUGACCUGCGGAUAGGGGUGAAAGGCCAAUCAAACCCGGAGAUAUCUCGUUCUCCCCGAAAUAGCUUUAGGGCUAGCGUCGCGCGUUCACCGCCGGAGGUAGAGCACCGGAUGGACGAGGGGGCUUCGCCGCCUACCGAAUCCAACCGAACUCCGAAUGCCGGCGGCCCAGAGCGCGGCAGUCAGAGCAUGUGGGCUAAGCUGUGUGCUCGAGAGGGAAACAGCCCGGACCGCCCGCUAAGGUCCCCAAGUUCCAGCCGAGUGGCAAAGGAUGUGCGUCCGCCCAGACAACCAGGAUGUUGGCUUAGAAGCAGCCAUACAUUAAAAGAGUGCGUAAUAGCUCACUGGUCGAGAGGUCCUGCGCCGAAAAUGUCCGGGGCUGAAACACACUACCGAAGCCGUGGAAUCAUCGCAAGAUGAUUGGUAGAGGAGCAUUCUUAAAGAGAAGAAGCUGUACCGGAAGGAGCAGUGGAUUUUUAAGAAGAGAGAAUGCCGGAAUGAGUAGCGAGAGGAAGGUGAGAAUCCUUCCGGCCGAAUAUCUAAGGUUUCCAGAGUAAAGCUGAUCUGCUCUGGGUAAGUCGGGGCCUAAGGCGAGGUCGAAAGACGUAGUCGAUGGAUAACAGGUUGAAAUUCCUGUACUAUGAUAUGACAGAACUGUGGGGACACGUGUGGAAAGCGGAAGCCGGGAAUGGAAAGACCGGUGCAAGCAAGGUAGGAGACUGGUUGGCAAAUCCGCCAGUCAAUCUGAAGAUGUGAUGCGUACUGAAAUAUAAGUAAGGAAGUCCGUGAGCCAUGCGUCAAGAAAAGCCGCUAUUGUUCAUAUCGUACCCGUACCGUAAACCGACACAGGUGGAUGAGGAGAGAAUCCUAAGGCCGACGGGAGAAGCAUUGUUAAGGAACUCGGCAAAAUGACUCCGUAACUUCGGGAGAAGGAGUGCCAGUGAGAGCUGGCCGCAGAGAAUUGGCCCAAGCAACUGUUUAGCAAAAACACAGGUCUAUGCAAAACCGAAAGGUGAAGUAUAUGGGCUGACGCCUGCCCGGUGCUGGAAGGUUAAGGGGAGAGGUUAGCGCAAGCGAAGCUUUGAACUUAAGCCCCAGUAAACGGCGGCCGUAACUAUAACGGUCCUAAGGUAGCGAAAUUCCUUGUCGGGUAAGUUCCGACCCGCACGAAAGGCGUAAUGAUUUGGGCACUGUCUCAACGAGAGACUCGGUGAAAUUUUAGUACCUGUGAAGAUGCAGGUUACCCGCGACAGGACGGAAAGACCCCAUGGAGCUUUACUGCAGUUUGAUAUUGAGUAUCUGUACCACAUGUACAGGAUAGGUAGGAGCCUAUGAAAUCGGGACGCUAGUUUCGGUGGAGGCGUUGUUGGGAUACUACCCUUGUGUUAUGGCUACUCUAACCUAGAUAGGCUAUCCCUAUCGGAGACAGUGUCUGACGGGCAGUUUGACUGGGGCGGUCGCCUCCUAAAAGGUAACGGAGGCGCCCAAAGGUUCCCUCAGAAUGGUUGGAAAUCAUUCGCAGAGUGUAAAGGUAUAAGGGAGCUUGACUGCGAGAGCUACAACUCGAGCAGGGACGAAAGUCGGGCUUAGUGAUCCGGUGGUUCCGCAUGGAAGGGCCAUCGCUCAACGGAUAAAAGCUACCCUGGGGAUAACAGGCUUAUCUCCCCCAAGAGUUCACAUCGACGGGGAGGUUUGGCACCUCGAUGUCGGCUCGUCGCAUCCUGGGGCUGUAGUCGGUCCCAAGGGUUGGGCUGUUCGCCCAUUAAAGCGGCACGCGAGCUGGGUUCAGAACGUCGUGAGACAGUUCGGUCCCUAUCCGUCGCGGGCGUAGGAAAUUUGAGAGGAUCUGCUCCUAGUACGAGAGGACCAGAGUGGACUUACCGCUGGUGUACCAGUUGUCUUGCCAAAGGCAUCGCUGGGUAGCUAUGUAGGGAAGGGAUAAACGCUGAAAGCAUCUAAGUGUGAAGCCCACCUCAAGAUGAGAUUUCCCAUGAUUUU